GACGGAUAUUCGCUUUAUUUCUACUGGUAAUAAGUUUACUUUUAACAUUAAAUUUUAAUUUUUAAUUACUUAAUAAAAAAUAUCACAAAAAUCUGAUUAACAUUUCAAUAAUUGUAUAUCCGGUCAGUUUAUGACACCUCGGGUGUUUCCGUUUUUACUCGGGUAUGUUAUUAGGACAAAAUCUCCCUCUGUGACAGAGUCGAUCUCAACUAAUUAACACCAAUUUACAGAAAAGUCGGUAACAUUUUAUGUGUAAUUAUCGUCUUUCGUCCUCUCUCCUUCUAAUAUAACCUCCUUG
rnacentral:lncRNA from 1 species